rnacentral:tmRNA from 1 species
GGGGGUGAUUGGCCUCGAUAGACGGAUAUGUUGUAUUUAAUGAGCAUGUCGAGGGUGUUUUGUACCUCGUAAAUCCAUAAAACAAUCUACAAACGCAAACGUAGUAUCAAGAGUGAAGAACGUAUUUGCUAACGCAUUUGCAACUCCUUCAUUCGCACCCGUUUUGGCUUAAUUGCCUUAACCAUCGCAACUGUGAUUCUCGAUAGCAAUCCUGCGGUGUAAAAUUAUCGAGGGUAGAAACAUAUACCCACUUGCAGAUAUGUUUUGAAAAUUGCAUGCAAGCACGUUAUAAUUGCUUUUGUCAUUUUAUUAAAUUAUAACUCAAACCAAAGAUGACUACACAUGUAGAACGUUUAUAUAACCCGCUCUAGACCUGGGUUCGAUUCCCAGCAUCUCCACAA